GUGGACAUAGUUUAAUUAAGACACUAGAUUGUGAUUCUGGGAAUAGAGGUUAAACCCCUCUUGUCGACC
rnacentral:tRNA from 1 species